AAGAUUAAAUAAUUACUAAGUAUCAAUAUUCAUAGUCGUUGUCUUUUUAAGCCAAUGGAAUGGGUUUAAUCCUUUAAUCUUGUCUUACACUACGCACGACACUAACUAUAUCUAGUGAGUUUUUUACACGAUAUUUUCAGAUUAAAAUGUCUUUAAAACCUGCCUGGAAUAUGAAAAAAAUCGCUAAAAUAAAUUGAAUAUGGUUUUCAACCGAUAUAUCGUGGAUAAUCUAUCAAUAUCGACACACGGUUUUCGAUUUCAAACAUCGGUUUUUUAUCGG